rnacentral:rRNA from 1 species
AUUGAACGCUGGCGGCAUGCUUUACACAUGCAAGUCGAACGGCAGCGCGGGCUUCGGCCUGGCGGCGAGUGGCGAACGGGUGAGUAAUGCAUCGGAACGUGCCCAGUAGUGGGGGAUAGCCCGGCGAAAGCCGGAUUAAUACCGCAUACGACCUGAGGGUGAAAGCGGGGGACCGAAAGGCCUCGCGCUAUUGGAGCGGCCGAUGUCGGAUUAGCUAGUUGGUGGGGUAAAGGCUUACCAAGGCGACGAUCCGUAGCUGGGCUGAGAGGACGACCAGCCACACUGGGACUGAGACACGGCCCAGACUCCUACGGGAGGCAGCAGUGGGGAAUUUUGGACAAUGGGGGCAACCCUGAUCCAGCCAUGCCGCGUGCGGGAAGAAGGCCUUCGGGUUGUAAACCGCUUUUGUUCGGGAAGAAAUCCUCUGGGCUAAUACCCCGGGGGGAUGACGGUACCGGAAGAAUAAGCACCGGCUAACUACGUG